UUGAUUUAUCAAGUACGUGAAUAUCCUUGUAUUUAUGACUAUAAAAAUAAAGACUUUAAAGAUUACCAAAUUCGGGAAAAUGUAUGGAAAGAAAUUGCUGUAAUUUUAUCCAAGAAUCCCGAAGAAUGCAAAAUUCGCUGGAAAAAUAUUCGCGAUAAUUAUUUUAAAAAUAAAAGAAAGCAAAAGUUAGGAACUGGUUCGGCGGCAUCAUCCCGACCUACCAAGUGGACACUGUUGGAACUUUUGAAAUUUUUAGAAUUGGUGAAGACUGAACGAAGAAUUACAGAUAGAUAACGAAAUUGAUGACGUCGCAUCACCGGAAUCUAUCGAUUUGAAUAUACCUGCAAAAAGAUCAAAACCAAAUAUGGACACAAGUCGAUCAAAUACUCCCAGCAGUAAAUCAAACACUCCAUCACUAUCAGGAAGAUUUGUUAAAUCCACAACAGCAAAAUCAAAACUACUGCAAAAUUUAGAAGAAAAGUCAAAAGAGCGCAUGGAAAUGUAUUCGAAACUCGUAGAUAAUCAGAAUGAAGACGAAGUCGAUUUGUUUAUGAGGAGCAUGGCUCUAAUGUUAAAGAAAUUACCUCCUAAUUUAAUUAAUGAAGCAAAAUUAAAAAUUUUGACCAUAAUAACAAAUCUCCAGGCAUCAAUGACUAAUCUAGAGCAGCCACAAAAUCCCUGUUCACCAGCGCAAAUGACUUCAAGUCCUCAACAAGUGGUAUAUUUUCAAAUGCCAGGUCAGCUAGAAGAUAUUCCAAAUGAAUUAGUUAACACUCCUCAACCAUCAAGAUCUUCAGUGAACCCACAGGACAACUACACAACGAAAAACAAAUAUUUCCAACUAUGAAGAAUAUAUUUUUUUUAGAUACAGAAUUGUAUUGUUUGAGUUUUCUUGGUGAUAAUAAAUAGUGUUGUUCUCA